ensembl:lncRNA
GAAGAGAGAGUCUGACGAUUUUCCAUUAAGGGCUAUUGAACAACAGGUUAUCUGGCUAGGCUCAACACCACUGGUCAACUUAGCAAAGAUCUGAAGGGAGGUUAAGUCAGUACAUCUAAUACUGGUCUGUACAUCAUGGAGGGAAAUGAAACUAACCAGAGUUAGUUUCACUUCUGCACAUACCUGUUGUGUUAAGUUUCUAUUUCCCAUUUACUAUCAGGGGUUUAUAAGUAGAACUGUUGUUCAGAAAGAGUUAUUCGUCUCCUAGACAGAAUGGAUCACACCUGGCUCUGCGUUCUACCAUUAUUGAGUAUCCUCAUCUACAGUGGUCACUCUCAAGCCGCAGCAACUGACAGAAAACUAAUGAUGGUGCUAGAUCUCCAGGAGUUGAAGCCUAUUGACACAUCCGUGAAACUUCUCGACGUAAGCGAAGAUAUACGUGCCAUUGAGAGGGCGAUGGACGAGUUUAAAAGAUCAUGGAAGUCGGAUUUGAAGCGUAUUGACACAUCCGUGGAAGUACCCGACGUGAGCGGAGAAAUACGUGCCUUUGAGAGGGUGAUGGACGAGUUUAAAAGAUCAUGGAACUCCUCCGGGUCUACUAUCCAAACACACAGUAUCCUGACACUUCUUUUCAUUACGAUGGCAUCGCUGAUGGUUGCAAUAUAGCCUCACAUGAACUACAUAUAUGUGAGGCUAUAGUAUGUCAUGCAAGCAAUAAUGUAAACUACAGUCCUGUAUAUUAGACUUGCAUUAUGUGAUAACGUUUCCUUUCCCAGUACACAUUUUGAUGAUAAUGUACACCUGUCUUUAGGUUAUAGUACACAUUUUAUUGAGCAUUUACAAUGAUACAUCAUGAAAUGUACAGAUGUAUUGAAUAAAAAAUAUAAAUAAUAAAAUAUACACUGAGUAAUCUCAA